ACAUUUUACCAUUGGUUUGUUGACAGACGAUAUCAUCACCUCAAUCAAGACAAUUUCGCGGUGUUUUUUGUACAGAAUGGCUGUGAAUAUCAGAAUAAUGAAUUCUCGUGGUUUUGUGGAAUCAAUUAUCCCAUUAUUGAGUGGAACAGGGUAGAUAAUAAUGUGAAUCCUCUGGAGAUGUUUCCGAAGGAUACCAGGAUCCCGCGUCAGUAUGGAGCGAAAUGUCAUCAGAAGAAUCUUGUGCAUCACCAAAAAUAUAAACAUUUGCCAAGGAAAACUUCGACACCAUCGACUUAGAAAGUGGCAUCAGAAACGCAAAAAGAAUACAAAAAUCGUUCUCUGAAAAAAUCGGACCUAUCGUUAGCGGGUCUAUUCAAAGAGAUCUCGCAGAAAUUUCCAAAAAUAGGAUGAUGAUCCGACAGCAGAAUGUAACAUAAAAUUGAGGAAACAGUGAGACGGGUGACCAUAGCAGCGGACGAGUCCGAUGUCGGCAUCCCCUGGAAGUCGCUCAGAAUUUAUUCAACAGUGGUUUUCGGUCUAUAAAGAAGAGAGUCUCGUAAAUGUUUACAAUACCCUACAGCCUUCUACAACGUCCUGUCUUUCUCCAACAUUGCUGCUAUUCACUGAAGAAUUAUGAAUAAAACUGUGAAAUAAGGCUCCCUUCACGACAAAAUCGUCCAGCUCAGAAGUAAUUGAUCCAGAUUUUCCUUCUUCGAAUGCCAGAGGUUUUUCAUCUGCUCUACGAACUUUGUUGCUUGUUGUCUUGUGGAACAUUAGGGUCAGCUCUGAUGGGUAUUGGACCGACAUUAAUUGGUACUUUCGAUGUUUUCUGUGCAGACAGAUUAAGACAUUCUCUUUGAAUGACCAGGAAAAGUACCUGAAAUACUGGAGACAUUUCUAUGAUCUAAUGAUAGUAGACUAAUGAUCUGGUAGGUCCCACGCCCCACGGGAACGUUCGUAAUGAUCCCGAGGGGGAGAGGAGCCACUGUCGAUUUUGGCAGCUGGCGGUGACAGAAAGAUUUGCAUGUAGACAGCGGACACGUGAUUUCUUUUCACAAAAUGAACUAAUUCGUUUGUACUGAGCGUAUAAUGUUUCGAUUGUGUCUCAUUUACGUUCCAAUAAAUAAUCAAAGGAGAACGAUAACGCGGGUUUUCUUUUUUAAAUAAUUAUUUCAUACAAUAUUAAUUUUCCAGAUUGAAAUAACAUUCUCACUGUCACUUUCACAUAACUUUGCCUCAAUACAGUUGUUUUUUUCUCAAAUAUAAUUUUACCAAUCGAAUUUGUUUUGCAGAACCAAAUGCUCAAUAUUCCCAUUUGAAUACCUGCUUUAAACUCAUGUCAUAAGAACAGUUGAUUGGCAAUUAAUAUAUCUCGAUACAAUUGCGACCGGGUGGUAAGGAGUGUGCCUGCCAAUCACACGAAUUAAAACACCCCGUGGCACGUGUAUCCGAACUAUACUUUCUGUUAGUGAUGUUAAGUUCAGCGAGUGGCGAACUGCAACAUUUUGCUUGUUUACUGUAACUCUUACAUUCACUUGUAUCGAAAUAUACUAAUUUAUUUCUUCAGUAUAUUCCUUUCCAGAUGACACCAAUUCUCAUUGACUAUCAUUAACAUGAAAUUGUAUUAUAAUAAUAAUAAUU